rnacentral:lncRNA from 1 species
CUGUAGGAUGGUGUGCUGCAGUUCACAGACCUAAGUCAAUGUUAGUCUACCACUGUACGUCUGGUAACCUCAAUCCCUGCAACCGGAGCAAAAUGUGAUUCCAGGUCUUGGCAACCUCUGAAAUUCCAACUCCAUUUGCGAGAGCUUUGAGGAGGCCAUAUGCUGAUUUCACCACAAGCAACUUCACAACCCAGUACUGGAAUGCCA